rnacentral:rRNA from 1 species
AGAGUUUGAUCCUGGCUCAGGACGAACGCUGGCGGCGUGCUUAACACAUGCAAGUCGAACGAUGAACCUCCUUCGGGAGGGGAUUAGUGGCGAACGGGUGAGUAACACGUGGGCAAUCUGCCCUGCACUCUGGGACAAGCCCUGGAAACGGGGUCUAAUACCGGAUACGACCACUGAGGGCAUCCUCGGUGGUGGAAAGCUCCGGCGGUGCAGGAUGAGCCCGCGGCCUAUCAGCUUGUUGGUGGGGUGAUGGCCUACCAAGGCGACGACGGGUAGCCGGCCUGAGAGGGCGACCGGCCACACUGGGACUGAGACACGGCCCAGACUCCUACGGGAGGCAGCAGUGGGGAAUAUUGCACAAUGGGCGAAAGCCUGAUGCAGCAACGCCGCGUGAGGGAUGACGGCCUUCGGGUUGUAAACCUCUUUUAGCAAGGAAGAAGCGAAAGUGACGGUACUUGCAGAAAAAGCGCCGGCUAACUACGUGCCAGCAGCCGCGGUAAUACGUAGGGCGCAAGCGUUAUCCGGAAUUAUUGGGCGUAAAGAGCUCGUAGGCGGUUUGUCGCGUCUGCUGUGAAAACUGGAGGCUCAACCUCCAGCCUGCAGUGGGUACGGGCAGACUAGAGUGCGGUAGGGGAGAUUGGAAUUCCUGGUGUAGCGGUGGAAUGCGCAGAUAUCAGGAGGAACACCGAUGGCGAAGGCAGAUCUCUGGGCCGUAACUGACGCUGAGGAGCGAAAGGGUGGGGAGCAAACAGGCUUAGAUACCCUGGUAGUCCACCCCGUAAACGUUGGGAACUAGUUGU